rnacentral:rRNA from 1 species
ACUCCUACGGGAGGCAGCAGUAGGGAAUCUUCCACAAUGGACGAAAGUCUGAUGGAGCAACGCCGCGUGAGUGAAGAAGGGUUUCGGCUCGUAAAACUCUGUUGUUAAAGAAGAACAUAUCUGAGAGUAACUGUUCAGGUAUUGACGGUAUUUAACCAGAAAGCCACGGCUAACUACGUGCCAGCAGCCGCGGUAAUACGUAGGUGGCAAGCGUUGUCCGGAUUUAUUGGGCGUAAAGCGAGCGCAGGCGGUUUUUAAGUCUGAUGUGAAAGCCUUCGGCUCAACCGAAGAAGUGCAUCGGAAACUGGGAAACUUGAGUGCAGAAGAGGACAGUGGAACUCCAUGUGUAGCGGUGAAAUGCGUAGAUAUAUGGAAGAACACCAGUGGCGAAGGCGGCUGUCUGGUCUGUAACUGACGCUGAGGCUCGAAAGUAUGGGUAGCAAACAGGAUUAGAUACCCUGGUAGGAUAGCGG